rnacentral:rRNA from 1 species
CCUACGGGUGGCUGCAGUGGGGAAUAUUGGACAAUGGGCGAAAGCCUGAUCCAGCCAUGCCGCGUGUGUGAAGAAGGCCUUCGGGUUGUAAAGCACUUUCAGUGGGGAAGAAAGCCUUGGGGCUAAUACCCUCGAGGAAGGACAUCACCCACAGAAGAAGCACCGGCUAACUCCGUGCCAGCAGCCGCGGUAAUACGGAGGGUGCGAGCGUUAAUCGGAAUUACUGGGCGUAAAGCGCGCGUAGGCGGUCUGAUAAGCCGGUUGUGAAAGCCACGGGCUCAACCUGGGAACGGCAUCCGGAACUGUCAGGCUAGAGUGCAGGAGAGGAAGGUAGAAUUCCCGGUGUAGCGGUGAAAUGCGUAGAGAUCGGGAGGAAUACCAGUGGCGAAGGCGGCCUUCUGGACUGACACUGACGCUGAGGUGCGAAAGCGUGGGUAGCAAACAGGAUUAGAUACCCCAGUAGUC